GUCCAAUCCGGAAGGGCGUCGUGCCGUAGCUCCGCCUGGACGGGCCAGCUGUAGGCGCUCAGGUGAGCGGUGCGAAGCGGUGCAAGGGUGCCCUGCGCCCGCUGCCCUCUCGGCGGCGCGAUUUCUCUGCUGGCUGCUUGCUACGCUGCUGCUUCCAGGACUGAGCGGCCCCGGCGGGUGAGUCUUGCAGUGGCCGCGAGAGAAGUGCAUCCCUUGCCCACAACCUAUCAGAGAGAAACAUAAAUGGGGGACAAUAUCGUUUACACCGAAGCGCUUAUAGUAUUCGUUCAACAUUGAUUGAAUGUCUGCUGUGUGCCAGACGUGAGCCGCUGUGUCCCUGCCCUCCCGGACCUUACAGUAAUAAAUGCAAAGGCCAGGAUUGAGGAAUAUGAAAAAAGAGCUGGAGAAGAUGAAGAACAUAAUUCCAAAUGAUCAGAUGACCAUUGAGGACCUGAACGAAGUCUUCCCAGAAACCAAACUAGACAAGAAGAAGUACCCCUAUUGGCCUCACAAACCAAUUGAAAAUUUAUAAACUUGAGAUGGGGAGAAAGCUCUGGCCCUCAUAUUAUAAAUGCUGGACAUUAAAAAUAACUAUAUGGUAAAAAACAAGCAAACAAACAAAUAACCCAAUUAUAAGUGGAAGAAGUAUUUAGACACUUAACCAAAAAAGAUAUACAGAUAGCAAAUAAACACAUGAGAUGUUCAACAUCAUUAGUGAUGAGGGACAUGCAGAUUAAAACUACAAGAAGGGGGCACCUGGGUGUCUCAGUCAGUUAAGCGUCUGCCUUCAGCUCAGGUCAUGAUCCCAGGGUCCUGCGAUCGAGCCCCACAUUGGGCUCCCUGCUCAGCGGGAAGACUGCUUCUCCCUCUCCCACUCCGCCUUGUUGUGUUCCCUCUCUCGCUGUGUCUCUCUCUGUCAAAUAAAUAAAUAAAAUCUUAAAAAAAAAUAAAACUAUAAAACUAUAAGGAGAUGCUACUACAUCCCCACUAGAAUGACUAUAAUCAAAAAGUAAUUUGCCAACAAUGUGGUACCGUGUGCUGCAAUGUCAUGAGGACCCUUAGCAGCUCUCUGGAGAGGCCCAUUUGGAGAGGAACUGAGGCCUCCUGCCAACAGGCAGAAUCAACUUGACAGUUGUGUGAAUGAGUCCUUGUGGAAGUGGAUUCUUCAGCCCCAGUCAAGCCUUCAUGUAUCUGCAGCCCCUGCUGACAUCUUGACUGGCACUUCAUGAGACACGCCAAGCCCUAACCCUCCAUCUAAACCACUAUCAUAUACCUCACCUGCAGAAACUGAUAAUAAAUGUUUAUUGCUGUUUUAAGCCACUAUGUUUUAUAGUAAUUUGUCACAGAGCAGUAGAUAACUAAUUUACAACCACAUAGGAUUAAAAGAAAUAAUAUAUACGUUGGCUGGUACAUAGUAAGCCCUUCAUAAAAGUUGGCUGUUAUCGUUGUUGUGUAAUGCAUAUAUGGUUUUUUUUUUCACUAGCAAUUGCAGAUUUCUUGCAAAGGAGGAUUUCAGUUCAUUCCUUUUUUUUUUCUUUUUGCACUCUCUCCCUCUCCUCAUCUUUGUUAGCCCCUCAGCACAGUGCUGGGCACUCAUACAGCUGAAGCCCAGUAAGAAAAUCAAAGGGAGGCAAUGAAAUCCAAAGGUGAAACAGUUUUAUCUUUGUCACUAUAAGGAUAAUUUUCCACUACCUGAACUAUUUGAUUAACCCCUUUGUUACAAUUAAUGUAAAUACCUGGGCUUUUAUAUGUUAUUUUGUAAUGAAUAAGCUGUAAAGGCAAGGAAGACUAAGGGAUGAAGAGAAAAGAUUUGAUUAAUUAAAAGGAGAUAAUGAAGAAAUGAGCAUUGGAUAAGGCAGAGACCAGGUAAGAGGGUCAGGGAUGUGCCUGUAUAAAAAAGAGUAAAAAAAUGGGAAUUGGACCCAGAGGACAACCAGGAAAACCACACUGAUAAAUCAGGGCUUCAAGGUUCAUGAGUUGGAGACCCACAUCUGCUGCCAUAAUUUGUUGUUUGUUGGUAAUUAUGUUGUUUCUAUUGUCGAUAAUGUUUGUUGCCUCCAUAACUGUGGCCAGUUACUUUGAGAAUAUAUGCCAUAUUUAUGAAGGAUUCAACACCACAGAGCAUUAAAAAUACAUCAUAUCUACUUAGAUAAAUUACCUAAGCCUCAUCCCCUGCUGAUAGCUUAUCUUCUUUGUAUGUCAUGGACAAUAGACCUUUACAUUCUUUGAUAAUAUUCAAGGGAAGUUUUGUAAUUCUAGCCAUUUUACCUAAGGAAUUAAAGAUACUUAAAUCUACUCUUUAUGGUAUGAAGUUCAUACCGUAAUUGAGGAUACACAUGACAUGGACCUGAAGUAAGAAUAUUAUUGUUCAGAGAAAAGCAGGCUUUGUGAGAUAUCACACAUUUGGUGCUCUAGUCUAGCAAAGGACAGUGACUAGUCGUGGUUUCUCGGUCAGCAGUUAGGUGACAUGUUGCCAGCAAUUUCUGUGAUAGCUGGAUGGACAGUCAAAAAGGAAAAACAGGUAAUAAUUAUAAUGAUAGAGAUAGUGAUCAACCUUUGUCAAGUUCUAACUAUAUGACUGAUAUUAAAUUUUAUUCUUUUUCUGAUAGAAUCCUGAGACAAUCCUAUAAAAUACAUGUUAUUACCCUUUUACAGAUGAGGUAACUGAAGCUUAGGUCAAAUCAUGGAACUUCAGCUCCUCCUUCUCACUUUCUAAGUCAUGACCAAGGUAAAGUCAGGAUGAGUCAGAGAUAAGCCUCUUGUUUCUAACUUAAAAAAAAAAGUCAUUUUAACUAACUCUAUUUUGGUGGUUUAUUACCUUGAUCUAAAAAGGCAGCCGACUGUGGUUAAGUUUUCAGGCCUGUGUUUGAAGCUUGGUUUCAUUACUUACUAACUAUGUGGCUUUGAAGAAGUUAUAUUCAUUUUCUUAUCCAUAAAAUAAGAAUAAUGACUCAACUUCCAGGGUUGCUGCCCUCAAUCUUUCUUCGCAGCCAAAGUGACCUUUCCAAAACGCAAAAUUGACCAUGUUAUCUCACUUCAAUUUAAAAUUCCACAAUGGGAUCCCAUUUUUCUUAAUAUAAACUGAUUCCCUUAAUAUGACUUCAGAACCUCUCAUGGUGUGGCCCCUAGUCACUCCCAGGCUUAUCUCAAAACCGCUUCCCCUAGCCCUGAACCACUGGCUCAAUCCUCUCAUUACAGGACUUUUGUAAUAUGGUCUUCUUGUCCAGAAGGCUUUGCCUCCCUUAUGCCUUUUACCACCCCCAUCUGACUUAGCUUAAUUAACUGUCCAUAUCUUUAGGAUCCUAUUUCAGAUGUGACCUUUUAAUAAACUCCUACAAAGUAGUGACAUGAGCUUUUUCCAGUCCUGUCUCCUCAACUCACUGUAGGGCCUGUCUCUUCCAAGGGUGCUUCCCAAAAUUAAUGCCAAGAUUAGGACAGGGAUGAGUUUUGCUAGCACCCUGUUGGGUGGUGUCCCUGGUUACAACUGCCAGGACACCUGGGAAGGUUAGGCCUUGGGCUGGAGGGAGCCAGUGAAAGAACUGCUACUCACUGGUGUCUCUGUUGGUUAAGUAUCUGACUCUUGGUCUGAGCUUGGGUCUUGAUCUUGGGGUCAUGAGUUUGGGCCCCGCGUUGGGCUCCACACUGGGUGGGGAGCCUACUUAAAAAAAAAAGUAAAAUUUAUUGAACUGUACCUCUUCAUAGAUGGAUGGGGCUUUUAGAAUAUUUUAGAUUACAUCAUGGAUCAUUAGAUGACUGUUAUCUUUUGAUAGAGUGAGAUGGAGUGCAUCACCAAUUCUUGUCCUAUUUUUUGUUAUUAUAGGUAGGUGCCAAGUAACAUUUUUACAAAAAUAAGUGAAUGCAAAACAAAACAAAAACAAAUAAAUGAAUGAAUGGAGCUUUGCCAAAUCUUUGUCACAAUUUUUCCAUCUCCUUAAAUUUUGUAAAAGGAUUAGGAACCAUCUCAUUUGCAAAAGGAUGUGUUACUCAUGUGAGUAAUCAUUUUUUCAGGGUCUGGAAGUGACACCAAAGUCAAGUGACUAUUAGUUGUUCUUGUUUCUCUCUCACUUAAAGCUAUUCUGGUUUUGGAGCCAAAACACCACAAAAUUGGUUGUGUUUCAUAAUUUUUCUUGUUGAUUAUGAACAAAGACCUAUUUCAGUUAUUUAGGUCAUAUUAAAGUGUCUUAAGGAGACAUUACAGAUGGACAGAAAUUGGUAUAGUAAAAAUAUUAUAUACAGGCUUGUAAUUUCAUUUCAAGAUUUAAAGUUUAAAAUUAUACAUUUGAUAGAAUUAAAAGAACAUGUCACCAUCUGAGAAGGAGAUAUUCUAAUUAAAUGAAAUGAUUUCUUCAAGUUCAGGGCAUUAUAUCUUAAAUUAUAUUUGUGGUA